rnacentral:lncRNA from 1 species
UCAAUGUAGACUCUUUCUAACUGCAGGGUCUGUCUCAGAUCUUUCCCUACACAUGUGUCCACCCCCAUAUACACAGACAGACAGAUAUACACUGACACAGACAUGACACACACAGACACAUACAUACAGAGACACAGACUUAUACACACACACACACACACACACACACACACACACACACUGUUCCUGAUGUUUUUUUUUUCAUCCCUUAGGAGACCCACAGCCAUGAGGACGCUCACUCUGCUUACCGCCCUUCUCCUGCUGGCCCUCCACACCCAGGCAAAAUCUCCCCAAGGAACCGCUGAGGAGGCUCCAGACCAGGAGCAGCUGGUCAUGGAGGACCAGGAUAUUUCCAUAUCCUUUGGAGGGGAUAAAGGCACUGCUCUCCAAGAUGCAGAUGUGAAGGCAGGCGUGACCUGCUAUUGCAGAAGCACACGCUGUGGUUUUAGAGAACGGCUCUCUGGGGCCUGUGGUUACCGUGGCCGCAUCUACAGACUGUGCUGCCGCUGAGCACUCCGACCAAGAAGAAUCCAUUUGUCAAAUGAUCUGAGAUCUUGAACGAGACUGCUAUUUGUCAGAUGUUAUGUCCUUGAGUUUCCUCUUCCUUUACACUCAAAUAAAGUUCUUACAGC